rnacentral:rRNA from 1 species
UACAGAGGGUGCGAGCGUUAAUCGGAAUUACUGGGCGUAAAGCGCACGUAGGUGGCGACGUAAGUCGGGUGUGAAAGCCCCGGGCUCAACCUGGGAAUUGCAUGCGAGACUGCAUUGCUGGAGUACGGAAGAGGAAGGCGGAAUUCCCGGUGUAGCGGUGAAAUGCGUAGAUAUCGGGAGGAACAUCAGUGGCGAAGGCGGCCUUCUGGUCCAGUACUGACACUCAAGUGCGAAAGCGUGGGGAGCAAACAGG